rnacentral:rRNA from 1 species
UACGUAGGGUGCAAGCGUUGUCCGGAAUUAUUGGGCGUAAAGAGCUCGUAGGCGGUUUGUCGCGUCUGCUGUGAAAACUCGGGGCUUAACCCCGGGCCUGCAGUGGGUACGGGCAGACUAGAGUGCGGUAGGGGAGACUGGAAUUCCUGGUGUAGCGGUGAAAUGCGCAGAUAUCAGGAGGAACACCGGUGGCGAAGGCGGGUCUCUGGGCCGUAACUGACGCUGAGGAGCGAAAGCAUGGGGGAGCGAACAGG